GUCUCAUAAUAAGUUGCACAUAAUUAUCUGAAAUAAAAAACAAAAACCUGUUUAGUACCAAACCUUCAAAACGGGGUUGCAAAAAAAAAAGUUUGUUUUUAGUCUAAAUGACCUAUUUAUUUUUUAAUAAAUUAGCAAUACAAUUAUAGGUAUAUCAGUAGUAAGUGACACAUGAAGCAUAAAUGUCACCAUUUCCUGAGAAUGAGCCAAGUAUGUUCUGCAUGGAAGAGGUUGCAUAUUUUCAGAUUUCAUAUUUCUAACACUCUUCAGCUGUAAAAUGAGACACAUUUUUAUACAUUUUCUAUGACAUCUCUUUAGUUGGGUCAUUUGUUUGGAGUCACCUUUUCAAUAUCCAGAAAACAGAAGAUCCCCUGAAAAAAGACCUGAUGGAGUCACUGCCAGAUGAUAUCAUAAGUAAAGACUUUGAAGCUGAACCAUGGAAAUAUUCCUCACAUAUGGACUACACAGUGGACACAGGUACUACACAUAAUGUAGCAUUUCCAUCUGUUUCCAAUAAUGCUCUGUUUGUAACACUUUGGUUUUCCCUCAUUUUUAACGUGUGGAUUGUAUGUCUGCUCCAGGAGUGGCUGCUGCUAACAUCGAGGGAGCUGUAGUUUUCUCCCCUGAAUCUUUUGUUCCACGUUAUGCUAUGGCAAAUCUAACAGUUCACGUCCUAGGCAGAGCAUUCAAUCUUCUGGAGAUUAGUCUAAGAAUGGAAAACCUAGAGCCUGUUCUGAAGAAAAUCUUUGAGCAGCAUCCUCUAGCAUCAGCCGAACACUCCAGACCUAAGGGUCAAACAGACUCUAUGAGACAUGAACAGAAAGGACGAAACAGCGACGAGGAACAAGGAGGCAGUGAUGGCUGUCAGUCCACUGGUUUGAGUUCCAUCAAGACUAAGGUUAGAGUCUUGCAGAUUGUGGGUUUGUGUCUGUUAUCUGGCUCCACAUCAGGCAUGAGCAAUAUUUCUGUUGAAGUUCACAGAGCAGAUGAAAAGAGAUAGCAGGUUCCGAUGUUGGAUGAAUGUGAAGAUGUUCGGCAAUGACCUCACCUUUAUGACCUGUGAUGAUCUCCAUGCGUAUCAGAGAAAGCUGUCACUUAGUACAGCUGGUGUUGUUGUCAAGUUGUUAAAGGUAAUAAAUUAUUUCUCAAGCUGCUACUUAAAGGAGCA
ensembl:lncRNA